rnacentral:rRNA from 1 species
GGAAUAUUGUGCAAUGAACGAAAGUUUGACACAGCGACACCGCGUGUGGGAUGACGGAUCUAGGUUUGUAAACCACUUUCAGGAGGGAAGAAAAUGACGGUACCUCCACAAGAAGCCCCGGCCAACUACGUGCCAGCAGCCGCGGUAAUACGUAGGGGGCGAGCGUUGUCCGGAUUUAUUGGGCGUAAAGAGCUCGUAGGCGGUUCAACAAGUCGGUCGUGAAAGUUCAGGGCUCAACCCUGAAAUGUCGAUCGAUACUGUUGUGACUAGGAUACGGCAGAGGUGAGUGGAAUUCCGAGUGUAGCGGUGAAAUGCGUAGAUAUUCGGAGGAACACCAAUUGCGAAGGCAG